GAUGAACGCUAGCGGCAGGCUUAACACAUGCAAGUCGAGGGGCAUCGAGAGUAGCAAUACUUGUCGGCGACCGGCGCAAGGGUGCGUAACACGUGAGCAACAUACCCGUUUCAGGAGGAUAACCGGAGGAAACUCUGCCUAAUACUCCAUGACAUCAUCAAACGGCAUCGUUUGAUGAUUAAAGAUUUAUCGGAAACGGCUUGGCUCGCGGGACAUUAGCUCGUUGGUGAGGUAACGGCUCACCAAGGCCACGAUGUCUAGGGGUUCUGAGAGGAAGGUCCCCCAACUGGAACUGGGACACGGUCCAGACUCCUACGGGAGGCAGCAGUGAGGAAUAUUGGACAAUGGUCGAAGACUGAUCCAGCCAUGCCGCGUGAAGGUUACUGUCCUAUGGAUAUUAAACUUCUUUUGAUGAGAGCAAAUAGGUGCACGCGUGCACCGAUGAGAGUAUCAUACGAAUAAGCAUCGGCUAACUCCGUCG
rnacentral:rRNA from 1 species